UCUAUUGAUUUAGGAGACAAG
rnacentral:piRNA from 1 species